GGAAGUCAAAGCACAUGGCUUUAUCCUAAGUGUCACCAGGCCCUGGGAGAUGAAGGAAGAGAGAGGGAGAUACUGUAGACCUGUCUGUACCUCUUGUACCAAUCAAGCAACAGUGGCCUAAACAGAGGGAUGGGUGGGGGCAGAAGCAAUCCUGCAUUCACUUGCUCCCAUUUCUAGUUAGAACUGAACCCACCCUGGGCCUGAAGGGACACCCCUGCACAAAAGGAAGACCUCAGAGCAGGUUACCUGGGGUCAGACAGCCUGACUGUGGCCAAACCAUAAGAUAGAGGAAAAAGAAAUGCCCAGAGACCUUCCAGCUUGGCAGCAAAGGAGAGGGUGCUGAAUGUGGAGAGGUUUCCAUGCGUGGACAAGUGAGGACCCCCUGUUCUUCCUCCCAGCUCUCUCAGCCUCCGAGGUGGCCUUGCCUAAGACGGCUCUCAUCUGGUGACUCAACUUGCCCUGCUGCUUUGGUAUGAAGCAGGCAUCACAGUGGCUUAUUAUUGUUCCCACGGGUCACCCUUCAUUCAUCUGACUCAGACAGACAAAAGGACCUUUGCCUCCUUCUCCCUUCUUUCUCUUUGUCCUGCAUCCUGCCUGAUUUUCAGGGUGUAGAGCUGAGCAUCUAACAGGUAGACUGUGAUUCUACCUAUCAGCCCGACCCCUUAUAAGAGGUGGAGAGUGGCCCAGCAAUGGUGGAGAAAGGGAUUCUUUUUGUUUCUUGAACUUCACCAAAUAAGGAGAGGAGGACCAGAAAGCCACGGUGAUUAGAUUAUAUGGAAGAGGGUCAAAGAUUAAAAAUCCACUGCCGCUCAUUAUUAGAAGAGGGAUGACAGAUUCAGACCAGAGCACAAAAGAAAAUACAUUAUUUCAAAACAGGAUAUGAAACCCAGUCCCAGGCGAUUAGUCUCUGUUAAGUAAAUUUACUAUCUAAUCUUUUAACUGUCUCCCGAAAUUGCCAGUCCAAGAUUCCCCCCCUCAGCUGGAAGCUUAACCUCGGGGGUGCUGUCAUCUGCCCUGAGCUCUACCAGCC
rnacentral:lncRNA from 1 species